rnacentral:rRNA from 1 species
UACGUAGGGUGCAAGCGUUGUCCGGAAUUAUUGGGCGUAAAGAGCUCGUAGGCGGUUCGUCGCGUCGGCUGUGAAAACCCGGAGCUCAACUCCGAGCUUGCAGUCGAUACGGGCAGGCUAGAGUUCGGCAGGGGAGACUGGAAUUCCUGGUGUAGCGGUGAAAUGCGCAGAUAUCAGGAGGAACGCCGGUGGCGAAGGCGGGUCUCUGGGCCGAUACUGACGCUGAGGAGCGAAAGCGUGGGGAGCGAACAGG